AACGUACCCCAAAGUGAGGGAUAAGCACCAGAAAUGGUGUCUAAUACCGCAUGUGCUCUAAGGAGUAAAGCUUCGGCGCUUUGGGAACGGCCUGCGCAUGAUUAGCUUGUUGGUGAGGUAAUAGCUCACCAAGGCGACGAUCAUUAGCUGGUCUGAGAGGAUGACCAGCCAGACUGGGACUGAGAACGGCCCAGACUCCUACGGGAGGCAGCAGUGGGGAAUUUUGGACAAUGGGGGCAACCCUGAUCCAGCCAUUCCGCGUGAGU
rnacentral:rRNA from 1 species